AUUGAACGCUGGCGGCAUGCUUUACACAUGCAAGUCGAACGGCAGCGCGGGGCAACCUGGCGGCGAGUGGCGAACGGGUGAGUAAUAUAUCGGAACGUACCCAAGAGUGGGGGAUAACGUAGCGAAAGUUACGCUAAUACCGCAUACGAUCUAAGGAUGAAAGUGGGGGACCGCAAGGCCUCAUGCUCCUGGAGCGGCCGAUAUCUGAUUAGCUAGUUGGUGAGGUAAAGGCUCACCAAGCGACGAUCAGUAGCUGUCUGAGAGGACGACCAGCCACACUGGGACUGAGACACGGCCCAGACUCCUACGGGAGGCAGCAGUGGGGAAUUUUGGACAAUGGGCGAAAGCCUGAUCCAGCAAUGCCGCGUGAGUGAAGAAGG
rnacentral:rRNA from 1 species